GGAGGCCAGCAGGAGGAGGCUCUUCUCAGGGUGUGCUGUACCAGGAAGACGCCUGCUCACCUUCUGUCCCUUCCACCUUCUCCCAAGACCCGAGAUUCCCCAGAAAGGAAGAUUUGUUUACCUUCACCUGUGGCAUCAGACACUUCCAACCACUCCCUCUUCUGAUUUCUGUGUUCAAAACUCUCACCUCUAAGGCUCUUGGGCUCAGCGGAGAUGGUAAAGAACUGAGGGUCCAGAAUCCCACAGUUUCAGCACAGCGAGUUCGGACGUAGGGCACGGCUCUUUCAGCACCAAGGACAGAGCCCACGGUUUGGAAGCUGAAGCCUCCAGUUCGUCGGCUUAGGUCGCCAGUAUCUAGCAAACCCGCCUCCCUCGCACCAUCCGCCUCCAGGCAGUUUAGCACUUUGAAGAAAAGGGAACAAGAUGCCCAGAGGCAGAAAAAAAGAGGCGGCGAGUGCGACCCCUCUGUUCUCUCUCUUCCGGGCGUGGAGGAGUAGCCGGGCUGCAGCUCCGGCUACUCAAUUGUGUCUUCAGAAGUCAACUUUCCUUUGGGUCAAGGAUGCCUGGGGCUUGGGAACAUGACC
ensembl:lncRNA